rnacentral:rRNA from 2 species
GAGAAGCUUGCUUCUCUUGAGAGCGGCGGACGGGUGAGUAAUGCCUAGGAAUCUGCCUGGUAGUGGGGGAUAACGUUCGGAAACGAACGCUAAUACCGCAUACGUCCUACGGGAGAAAGCAGGGGACCUUCGGGCCUUGCGCUAUCAGAUGAGCCUAGGUCGGAUUAGCUAGUUGGUGAGGUAAUGGCUCACCAAGGCGACGAUCCGUAACUGGUCUGAGAGGAUGAUCAGUCACACUGGAACUGAGACACGGUCCAGACUCCUACGGGAGGCAGCAGUGGGGAAUAUUGGACAAUGGGCGAAAGCCUGAUCCAGCCAUGCCGCGUGUGUGAAGAAGGUCUUCGGAUUGUAAAGCACUUUAAGUUGGGAGGAAGGGCAGUUACCUAAUACGUGAUUGUUUUGACGUUACCGACAGAAUAAGCACCGGCUAACUCUGUGCCAGCAGCCGCGGUAAUACAGAGGGUGCAAGCGUUAAUCGGAAUUACUGGGCGUAAAGCGCGCGUAGGUGGUUUGUUAAGUUGGAUGUGAAAU